rnacentral:rRNA from 1 species
CCUACGGGAGGCUGCAGUGAGGAAUAUUGGUCAAUGGGCGCGAGCCUGAACCAGCCAAGUAGCGUGAAGGAUGACUGCCCUACGGGUUGUAAACUUCUUUUGUCAAGGAAUAAAGUGAGGCACGUGUGCCUUUUUGAAUGUAUUUUAUGAAUAAGGAUCGGCUAACUCCGUGCCAGCAGCCGCGGUAAUACGGAGGAUCCGAGCGUUAUCCGGAUUUAUUGGGUUUAAAGGGUGCGUAGGUGGGUUGUUAAGUCAGUUGUGAAAGUCCGGGGCUCAACCCUAAAAUGGCAUUUGAUACUGGCAGCCUUGAGUACAGUUGAGGUAGGCGGAAUGCGUGGUGUAGCGGUGAAAUGCUUAGAUAUC